AUACGGAGGAUGCGAGCGUUAUCCGGAUUUAUUAGGUUUGAAGGGUGUGUAGGCGGUAUUUUAAGUCAGUGGUGAAAUCUUUCAGCUUAACUGAGAAACUGCCAUUGAUACUGGAAUACUUGAGUAUAGUUGAGGUAGGCGGAAUAUGUAAUGUAGCGGUGAAAUGCAUAGAUAUUACAUAGAACACCGAUUGCGAAGGCAGCUUACUAAACUAUUACUGACGCUGAUGCACGAAAGCGUGGGGAGCGAACAGGAUUAGAAACCCUAGUAGUCC
rnacentral:rRNA from 1 species